AUUGAACGCUGGCGGCAGGCUUCACACAUGCAAGUCGAACGCUUGUCGGACGGGUGAGUAAUGUUUGGGACUCUGGCUUAUGGAGGGGGAUAACGACGGGAAACUGUCUCUAAUACCGCGUACCAUCGGCUGAGCCCAAGUGGGAUUAGGUAGUUGGAGGGGUAAUGGCCUACCACGCCGACGAUCUCUAGCUGGUCUGAGAGGAUUACCAGCCACACCGGGACUGAGACACGGCCCGGACUCCUACGGGAGGCAGCAGUGGGGAAUAUUGCUCAAUGGGGGCAACCUGACGCAGCCAUGCCGCGUGAAUGAAGAAGGCCUUCGGGUUGUAAAGAUCUUUCGGUGAGGAGGAGUUAAUCACAGAAGAAGCACCGGCUAACUCCGUGCCAGCAGCCGCGGUAAUAC
rnacentral:rRNA from 1 species